AUAAAAUAAAAAACCUGUUUACCUUAAGUUCUAAACCCUAAACAUGCCCUAAACCCUAACUACAUAUCUCAAUACCCUAUAUUUUAAAUUUCAUUUUAUACAUAAAUCUUCAACUUUAAACAUUUUAAUUCAAACAUUUGGAUUAUAUAUCAUACAGAAAUAUUCAAGUUUAAAGAUUAUAAUACAAACCCUACAUAUACAUACCCCUAGCCUUACUUAUAACUCCAAACCCUAUAUCAUAUUCCAAACUCUAUACAAAAAGUAUUAAAUCAUAACACUUUAAAAUUAUAACACUUAUUUUAUACUAAAUUAUGAAAUUAUACAAAGUAUAAAAUCUAAAUAAAAUCAGUAUAUUCAUAAUAUAACUUCAAUCCCUAAACUCCAAACCACAUACUUCAUAAGAAGAUAAUUUGUACUGUUUUUUAUGAGCCAUUGAUUGAUUUUUAAAUCAAAGGUCCAAAAUCAAUCUCCUAUCUAUCUUUCCCCCAUGUUUUCUAUUGGUUUGGCGCGGAUCACCCUCUGCACCGUUAGAUCAUAACGAGCCAACGCUUGAGAUUUUUUUUUUCAAUUAUUUUCUGAGAACAGAUCGCGUUGGAGAGAGAUAGAGAGAGAGGGGCAGAAAAAAAGAGAGAAAGGCGACUGGGUACUGUGCUCGACGCCCUAGCAAACCUCGGCCUCCUUUUCUUCUUCUUCUUCCUCUUAAAUUAAGUGGAGGAGGCUGAAGAAGCUUGGUGGUGGUGGUCUCGCCACCGACUCCAUAUCAGAAGAAGCAUGGCUCGAGACGAGAAGACAAAGGGCUGGUGAUUCAAGAACAGAACGUAACUCGUGCUCUGUUUUUUCUGUGGUGAUGCGACGACAGCACUCUGGAGGCUGAAGGCGGAUGCUCUGGAGGCUAGAGGCUGGAGGCUGGAGGCUAGAGGCGGAGGAAUUAGGGUUGUAGGCAGAGGCUUAGAUUUUUUUUUUUUGUCGACAGGUAGAGAUCGAAAUCUGGUUAUCAUGAGUUGGAAACAGAAGAGGAUUUAGGUGGUGCUCCUUUACCUGUCCAAGAAGUUGAUGAUAUGGGUGAUGAUAUGGAUGAUGAUAGUGUAUAUGUUAGGGAUGAUUGUGAAGGUUUAUUAGUGGUAGAUUGAUGAUAUGUUGUAUGCUUGUGUGAUGGUUUGUAUGAAUGUGAUAAUGUUGUGUUAUGGGAUUUGAAUAAUUAUAUUGAUUUUUGGAAUUUUAAUAAUUUAUAUUGUUUUUA